GGUUAAGCGACUAAGCGUACACGGUGGAUGCCCUGGCAGUCAGAGGCGAUGAAGGACGUGCUAAUCUGCGAUAAGCGUCGGUAAGGUGAUAUGAACCGUUAUAACCGGCGAUUUCCGAAUGGGGAAACCCAGUGUGAUUCGUCACACUAUCAUUAACUGAAUCCAUAGGUUAAUGAGGCGAACCGGGGGAACUGAAACAUCUAAGUACCCCGAGGAAAAGAAAUCAACCGAGAUUCCCCCAGUAGCGGCGAGCGAACGGGGAGGAGCCCAGAGCCUGAAUCAGUGUGUGUGUUAGUGGAAGCGUCUGGAAAGGCGCGCGAUACAGGGUGACAGCCCCGUACACAAAAAUGCACAUACUGUGAGCUCGAUGAGUAGGGCGGGACACGUGGUAUCCUGUCUGAAUAUGGGGGGACCAUCCUCCAAGGCUAAAUACUCCUGACUGACCGAUAGUGAACCAGUACCAUGAGGGAAAGGCGAAAAGAACCCCGGCGAGGGGAGUGAAAAAGAACCUGAAACCGUGUACGUACAAGCAGUGGGAGCACAGAGCAAUCUGUGUGACUGCGUACCUUUUGUAUAAUGGGUCAGCGACUUAUAUUCUGUAGCAAGGUUAACCGAAUAGGGGAGCCGAAGGGAAACCGAGUCUUAACCGGGCGUUAAGUUGCAGGGUAUAGACCCGAAACCCGGUGAUCUAGCCAUGGGCAGGUUGAAGGUUGGGUAACACUAACUGGAGGACCGAACCGACUAAUGUUGAAAAAUUAGCGGAUGACUUGUGGCUGGGGGUGAAAGGCCAAUCAAACCGGGAGAUAGCUGGUUCUCCCCGAAAGCUAUUUAGGUAGCGCCUCGUGAAUUCAUCUCCGGGGGUAGAGCACUGUUUCGGCAAGGGGGUCAUCCCGACUUACCAACCCGAUGCAAACUGCGAAUACCGGAGAAUGUUAUCACGGGAGACACACGGCGGGUGCUAACGUCCGUCGUGAAGAGGGAAACAACCCAGACCGCCAGCUAAGGUCCCAAAGUCAUGGUUAAGUGGGAAACGAUGUGGGAAGGCCCAGACAGCCAGGAUGUUGGCUUAGAAGCAGCCAUCAUUUAAAGAAAGCGUAAUAGCUCACUGGUCGAGUCGGCCUGCGCGGAAGAUGUAACGGGGCUAAACCAUGCACCGAAGCUGCGGCAGCGACACUGUGUGUUGUUGGGUAGGGGAGCGUUCUGUAAGCCUGUGAAGGUGUGCUGUGAGGCAUGCUGGAGGUAUCAGAAGUGCGAAUGCUGACAUAAGUAACGAUAAAGCGGGUGAAAAGCCCGCUCGCCGGAAGACCAAGGGUUCCUGUCCAACGUUAAUCGGGGCAGGGUGAGUCGACCCCUAAGGCGAGGCCGAAAGGCGUAGUCGAUGGGAAACAGGUUAAUAUUCCUGUACUUGGUGUUACUGCGAAGGGGGGACGGAGAAGGCUAUGUUGGCCGGGCGACGGUUGUCCCGGUUUAAGCGUGUAGGCUGGUUUUCCAGGCAAAUCCGGAAAAUCAAGGCUGAGGCGUGAUGACGAGGCACUACGGUGCUGAAGCAACAAAUGCCCUGCUUCCAGGAAAAGCCUCUAAGCAUCAGGUAACAUCAAAUCGUACCCCAAACCGACACAGGUGGUCAGGUAGAGAAUACCAAGGCGCUUGAGAGAACUCGGGUGAAGGAACUAGGCAAAAUGGUGCCGUAACUUCGGGAGAAGGCACGCUGAUAUGUAGGUGAAGUCCCUCGCGGAUGGAGCUGAAAUCAGUCGAAGAUACCAGCUGGCUGCAACUGUUUAUUAAAAACACAGCACUGUGCAAACACGAAAGUGGACGUAUACGGUGUGACGCCUGCCCGGUGCCGGAAGGUUAAUUGAUGGGGUCAGCGCAAGCGAAGCUCUUGAUCGAAGCCCCGGUAAACGGCGGCCGUAACUAUAACGGUCCUAAGGUAGCGAAAUUCCUUGUCGGGUAAGUUCCGACCUGCACGAAUGGCGUAAUGAUGGCCAGGCUGUCUCCACCCGAGACUCAGUGAAAUUGAACUCGCUGUGAAGAUGCAGUGUACCCGCGGCAAGACGGAAAGACCCCGUGAACCUUUACUAUAGCUUGACACUGAACAUUGAGCCUUGAUGUGUAGGAUAGGUGGGAGGCUUUGAAGUGUGGACGCCAGUCUGCAUGGAGCCGACCUUGAAAUACCACCCUUUAAUGUUUGAUGUUCUAACGUGGACCCGUGAUCCGGGUUGCGGACAGUGUCUGGUGGGUAGUUUGACUGGGGCGGUCUCCUCCUAAAGAGUAACGGAGGAGCACGAAGGUUGGCUAAUCCUGGUCGGACAUCAGGAGGUUAGUGCAAUGGCAUAAGCCAGCUUGACUGCGAGCGUGACGGCGCGAGCAGGUGCGAAAGCAGGUCAUAGUGAUCCGGUGGUUCUGAAUGGAAGGGCCAUCGCUCAACGGAUAAAAGGUACUCCGGGGAUAACAGGCUGAUACCGCCCAAGAGUUCAUAUCGACGGCGGUGUUUGGCACCUCGAUGUCGGCUCAUCACAUCCUGGGGCUGAAGUAGGUCCCAAGGGUAUGGCUGUUCGCCAUUUAAAGUGGUACGCGAGCUGGGUUUAGAACGUCGUGAGACAGUUCGGUCCCUAUCUGCCGUGGGCGCUGGAGAACUGAGGGGGGCUGCUCCUAGUACGAGAGGACCGGAGUGGACGCAUCACUGGUGUUCGGGUUGUCAUGCCAAUGGCACUGCCCGGUAGCUAAAUGCGGAAGAGAUAAGUGCUGAAAGCAUCUAAGCACGAAACUUGCCCCGAGAUGAGUUCUCCCUGACCCUUUAAGGGUCCUGAAGGAACGUUGAAGACGACGACGUUGAUAGGCCGGGUGUGUAAGCGCAGCGAUGCGUUGAGCUAACCGGUACUAAUGAACCGUGAGGCUUAACCUU
rnacentral:rRNA from 1 species